AUAAUAAUAAUGAAAAUAGUAUUACGUUUUAGACCUCCUUUCAGAUCAUAAACAAGUACAAAGAUAAAUAAUACAUAAUUUUCAUCGUGGAAAGAGUACCUAAUCUUGUACAUGUUUGAGGCAUAGCUUUCCGCACACAUAAAUAUUUCUUUUUAACACACCAGCUACUCCAAAAACUAUUUUGGAAAAAUCUUGAGCAAAUCAUUUAUCUGCAGUUGUGGCGGCCGAGUCUAUGAAAAACGCAAGAAAUGCUAUUUUUGAAAACCUCAGAGGCCACGCCCGUUCCCAUUGGACAACGGAUCUCUAGACAACGUAGUGCAACCGCAGACAGCUAACGUAAAUCCAUUUAUACCAGAAAGUUUGAUGGCUCACUAAUGGUUCGCUACUAUCGUCGUUGGUAGCCAACUCUACAUCAUAUUGAAAGCCUGUUUCCGUUACAUCGAUUAACUUCUUUGAUUCAGAGCAUCUCAAACAAAUUCCCUUCUGUUUAGCAUUUACUGCGGCAAGAAUAAUUUACGCAAUUAAUUAAAGUAUUGGAUCGUUCGAAAAACGGGCUUUGAAUAAAGUAUGGGCUCACGCUAUUAUUCAAUGGCGAUAGCUUGCAAUCUCUUGCAGGAACGUUCGCUGGUCGAAUCUGAACUGAAACUAUUACUAUUACUAGCAGCCCAAA